rnacentral:rRNA from 1 species
GACGAACGCUGGCGGCGUGCUUAACACAUGCAAGUCGAACGGAAAGGCCCUGCUUGCAGGGUACUCGAGUGGCGAACGGGUGAGUAACACGUGGGUGAUCUGCCCUGCACUUCGGGAUAAGCUUGGGAAACUGGGUCUAAUACCGGAUAGGAACCAUCUUUAGUGUGGUGGUUGGAAAGUUUUUUCGGUGUAGGAUGAGCUCGCGGCCUAUCAGCUUGUUGGUGGGGUAAUGGCCUACCAAGGCGGCGACGGGUAGCCGGCCUGAGAGGGUGUACGGCCACAUGGGGGGUGAGGCACAGUCCAGGGGCGGACAGGAGGCAGCGCUCCGGAGGGGGGCGGGAUGGGGGAAAGCUUGCCGAAGGGACGCCGCCUGAGUGAGGAAGGGCCGCGGGGGGGAAAACUCUUUUAGGGUUGAAGAACAUUUGCGUAAGGAACGGUGCUUUUCGUGACGGUACCUAAUAAGAAAGCCCCGGCUAACUACGUG